rnacentral:rRNA from 1 species
AUGCAGCCUUCGGUGGAUACCGGAUCGCUUGCGCCCACAGACUCGGUGGCCACCAGUGCAUCCAAUGCAGGCGUGGCCACACGUGACUCCAUGGGAUCCUAUGCGCCGAUGCAUGCAGCAGAUUCGUUCGGAUCUUCUGCGGCUGAUUCUCCUGUGCGCCAACCAGCUUCUGAGCGUACACAACCAGCAACAUCUACACGGGUUAUGGCCCGUUUACAAAAAGGUAUAAGGAAUCCCAGAAUUCGUACUGAUGGCACUAUACCAUAUGUCAUGUUGUGUAUCUCAGGUGAACCAACAACGUUGAAUGAGGCACUUGAUGAUCCGAGAUGGAAGAAAGCAAUGAAUGAAGAAUAUUUUGCGCUUAUGAAAAACAAGACCUGGCAUCUUGUGCCUAAUCAGAAAGGUAAAAAUAUUAUUGAUUGCAAAUGGGUGUAUAGGAUAAAAAAGAAGGCAGAUGGAUCCAUUGACAGGUACAAGGCACGUUUGGUUGCAAAAGGUUUUAAACAACGCUAUGGUAUAGAUUAUGAAGAUACCUUUAGCCCUGUUGUGAAAGCUGCGACUAUAAGACUUGUUUUAGCUAUUGCUGUAUCCAGGGGCUGGAGUUUGAGACAGCUAGAUGUACAGAAUGCGUCCUUGCAUGGCGUUCUGGAAGAGGAAGUUUACAUGAGACAACCACCCGGAUAUGUAAGUAAGAAAACACCACAUUAUGUGUGUAAGCUUGACAAGGCAGUCUAUGGGUUGAAACAGGCACCUAGAGCAUGGUACUCUAGGUUGUGCUCGCAGUUAAGAUGUCUUGGUUUCAUUGCAUCAAAAGCUGACACAUCUCUGUUCAUUUAUAACAAGGCAAAGGUAGUCAUUUUUGUGCUUUUAUAUGUUGAUGACAUCAUUGUUGCAAGUUCCUCACAAAAUGCUACUAAUGCCCUUCUGCAUGACUUGAGCUCAGAAUUUUCUUUGAAAGAUCUAGGAGAUUUACAUUUCUUCUUAGGUAUUGAGGUCAAGAAAACCCAAGAUGGCAUAGUACUGAAUUAA